CCUACGGGUGGCAGCAGUGGGGAAUAUUGGACAAUGGGCGCAAGCCUGAUCCAGCAAUGCCGCGUGUGUGAAGAAGGCCUGCGGGUUGUAAAGCACUUUCAGUGGGGAGGAAGGCCUCGAUAUUAAUACUAUUGAGGAUUGACGUUACCCACAGAAGAAGCACCGGCUAACUCUGUGCCAGCAGCCGCGGUAGUACAGAGGGUGCAAGCGUUAAUCGGAAUGUCUGUGCGUGAAGGCUUAGGUGAGAGGUGAAAGCCCCGGGCUCAACCUGGGAAUUGCAUUUGAUACUGAGUAACUUGAGUAUGGUAGAGGGAAGUGGAAUUUCCAGUGUAGCGGUGAAAUGCGUAGAUAUUGGAAGGAACAUCAGUGGCGAAGGCGACUUCCUGGACCAUUACUGACACUGAGGCACGAAAGCGUGGGGAGCGAACAGUAUUAGAUACCCGUGUAGUC
rnacentral:rRNA from 1 species